GACAGAGGGGGCCAGCGUUGUCCGGAGUUACUGGGCGUAAAGCGCACGCAGGCGGCGCCUUAAGCGUCGUGUGAAAGCUCCCGGCUCAACCGGGAGACGCCAUGGCAAACUGGGGCGCUGGAGCGCCGGAGAGGCCCCUCGAAUUGCCGGUGUAGUGGUGAAAUGCGUAGAGAUCGGCAGGAAGACCAAGGGGGAAGCCAGGGGGCUGGCCGGCUGCUGACGCUGAGGUGCGACGGCGUGGGGAGCAAACCGG
rnacentral:rRNA from 1 species